UGCUUGGGAGACUCCGAGUGAGCACAAUCUCGCUCACGUUAAUCGGAAAACACGUAGAGAGUUAACAGGGAGUGUUGCAGCUGUUCUGCGGGGCAGGACGCUGGAUCUGGGUCCCUUCCUUCGCUCACUGCAUGCGGUGCUUGUAGCGCUACAUAGAAACUGAAGCAGUGCAGCUUAAGUACCCCUGUCAAGGUAACCCCAGCUCAACACCUCUUGGGACUUGACUGUUGACCUGUGGUCAUAGGUCCAGUUCCAUAUGCACUCCUUCACAUUACUACCUCUCUCUCACAAGGACGGAGGGGUUGCUGGUCAAUUGACCAGCGACAAUUAAAGAACCUACGCCAGUGGCAGUUGUGUACAGUGGGGUGGGUUGGAGAUCUGAAGAAGGGAGAUGUUCAACACAGGGCUUUUUUUUGUUAUUACAGUUAUUCUGAAUUGCUAAAACACUAAACCCCAUUCUCUGAACCAAAUGCUCAGUGGCUUGAACCCAUUUAUUGAAUUGAUCACUCUUUACUCUUUUUGCAAAACUCUAAACACAUUCUCACUCACUAAAACACAUUUUGCACCGUGUGACGCACUUGUGAUGCAUAAUGUUAACCACAGGUGGCAGAAGUUAAACACAGUUACAGCACAGAUGACAUAGCUUACACACAACGACUCAAAAUUGUUCACACUUUUUGCUAAUGAUGUGAUGAAACCAAUAUAAGCCAGUUCAGAAUGCACAGGCGGCAGAGGUGAGUUGAAGGUUGAUGCCAACAGUGGAUGGAAACAAUCUGAGAGGCAGAGGAGGAAGAGUGCGUGUAAAAGGUGGUGUAUGAGGAAGAAGAGGAGGAGGACGAGGAAGACCAAGAUCAAGAACAGUAAUUUCAGAUGAAAUUUGAGCAACUGUGUCAGACCAUGUUCAUGUUCUUGGAAUGACAAUGAGGGAAGCAGGACAAAGAGUACAACCCAAUCUCAGCAGAUUCUCUGUGGCCACCAUAAUCAGGGGAUUCAGAGAAGAGAACAGAAUUGCAAGACUGCCACGUGCGGGUGGAAGGACUCUUGUGCUCUCCCAACAGCGAGAGGCUCUCAUUGUUGACAUGGUCCUUCAAAACAAUGCCAUUAGAUUGUGUGAAAUACAGCACUGAGUUGUUGAAGACAAUGCAAAUUUUGAAGGAAUCAACAGUGUCAGCCUUUCCACCAAUGACCGUGUCCUCCAACGCUAUACUUUGUGCAGCCUUAAGUAAUUGUGGGGUUCUCCACCGUCAUGUCACCUUGGGGCAAUAUAACACCCAACAUCUUCUUACAUUUCUGGGUGGUCUUUGGGAUGUCUUGAGCAGCAGGAUCAUGAGCAGGCAGAGCAUCCUGUCUAUGUCAUAGUUUGGGACAACAUCAGUUUUCACCAUGGAGUCUUAAUAUGGGAGCGGUUCAACAUCAACCAGCAAUUUAUAAAUGUUUGCCUUCCACCAUACUCCCAUUUCCUUAACCCAAUAGAAGAGUUUUUCUCUGCAUGGCGGUGGAAGGUAUAUGACCGAAAACCCUGUACCAUGGAAAAUCUCCUACAGGCCAUGGAAUUAGCCUAUGGUGACACAGGUGUGGAGUCUUGCCAAGGCUGGAUCCGGCACACCAGAGGGUUUUUCCCCCAUUCCCUGGCUAGGGAGAACGUUGCCUGUGAUGUAGAUGAAGUCCUCUGGCCUGA